rnacentral:rRNA from 1 species
UACGGAAGAUCCAAGCGUUAUCCGGAAUCAUUGGGUUUAAAGGGUCCGUAGGCGGUUUGGUAAGUCAGUGGUGAAAGCCCAUCGCUCAACGGUGGAACGGCCAUUGAUACUGCCAGACUUGAAUUAUUAGGAAGUAACUAGAAUAUGUAGUGUAGCGGUGAAAUGCUUAGAGAUUACAUGGAAUACCAAUUGCGAAGGCAGGUUACUACUAAUGGAUUGACGCUGAUGGACGAAAGCGUGGGUAGCGAACAGG